rnacentral:lncRNA from 10 species
UACUGAAGAUAUAUCCUUCCAGUCUUUCAUGUUUAUUUCCUUUAUAGUGUACAGGUAUUUUAAUAGUGGUGUCCAGAUAAUAUUUUUUUUCUUUUAUGGUUUGUGUUUUUUGUAUCCUAAAAAUAUUUGCCUAUUCUAAGCCUACAGAAUGUUUUCUCUUAUGGUGUUUUCCUAGAAGUUUCAGGGGCUAGGCUUUUAGGUUGAAGUCUAGCUGUGAAUACUUGUUCUCUUAACUCUGAUCAUUCUGUCCAGUCCCUGGUGUGGCUGUUUUCAGCCUUGUUGCACUUAGAGGAGUUUCCUUGCUUGGGUGUCCCCACCUUGUUCCCUCAGUCCUCUCAGCCUGGCACUCUCUUCUGCCCUGUCUGCUCGGCCCCAUACCUGAUCACACAAUCCCAGGCACCCUCCCACCCUCCUCCAUGGGACUUCCCCCACCAGGUGCUUUUGCAGAGCCUGGGAAAGAAGUGGCAUUGAGAUGUGCCUGAAAGAAUGCACACAAUUUUAGAAAAUUUUAAUUUUUUUCAAGUAUCAAAUUAGCUAGUUUCAUUAUUAUUUUGAAAUACAAAUUAAAAAUGUACAAAGGACACUCAGUAAGAAAUAAGUCGCCCUCACACCAGUUUUCUCCAGAACUCAAGUCCCCUCCAAGAAACAGCCAUAAUUAUCCAUUCUUUGAAUAUCCUUUCAUCGAGACUGUAUACGUGUACAAGGGUAUGUGUCUGUUCAGUUUCCUUACACAGGCACGCUAGCAUGGCUUUCUACCUUUUUCACUUAAUUAGAUGUAUAAUUUUUGGAAUAUAUUAUAUCUUCUUGUGGUUCAAAGUUCAAAACAUGCCAAAAUGACAGAAGUCUUUGCUUAUAACUUUGUCUCCAGUUACCAGGUUCCCUCUGCAAGAAAUAAUAUGUGCAUGUGUGUGUGUUUAGUUAGAAUAUGUCUAAACUUACUUUUUUUUCUAUUUUUUACCCAAAUAGAGGCAUUCUGCACCUUGUUCUCUAUCUUCCUGCCUUAGAGCAAAUAUCUCAGAGGUAGCUAGCUGCAUGUCACAGUGCAAAGAGCUUCUCAUUCUUUUUCUCUCCUUUCUCCCUGUCCUCUCAUGACACUUCUCUGUGUGGAUAUAGCAGAACCUCACAUAGGCUGUUGACAGGUAGGGAGAGGGUGUGGGUGGCGUUCCCGGUGGUGGCAGGCACCAGCAAAGACAGGGCAGGCAGCGUGUGCUUGGAGUGAUGAGAGAAGUGAGGAUCUGGCUGCCCAGGAGGAACAUGGGGUUGGUGAGGGGAGCAGCUCACCGGAACCCAUAGGUCUGGGCCAUUGUGUGGAUGUUGGUGGGAGAGUGUCAGGGAAGGAGUGAGCAUGUUGUUAGCCAGAAGAGAUGCAAGGAGCCUGUAACCAUGCUGCUGACCUGCCUUCAGUUGGACGUGUUGGGUUGGGAUGGAUUUCUGGUAGGGAUGAAUCUGGCUCCAUCUUUGCUGUGAUCUCUGCCCGUCCACCUGCCACACAGAGAGUGAUAUUGAGGAGUCAGACUGCCCCCUGCAGUGAUGAGACCUUUGACCUUCGCAUAAUCAGCUUCUUACUCUCAUUAAAUAAAGUUCAUAGAUGAUAUAAACCAUCAACAUACAUAUUUCUAAAAAAUUGCCAGGUGUGGUGGCUCACACUUGUAAUCCCAGCACUUUGGGAGGCCAAGAUGGGUGGAUCACUUGAGGCCAGAAGUUCGAGACUAGCCUGGCCAACAUGGUGAAACCUUGUCUCUACAAAAAAUACAAAAAUUAGCUGUGUGGUGGUGCACACCUGUAAUCCCAGCUACUGAGGAGGCUGAGAUGGGAGGAUCACCUGAGCCUGGGAGGUUGAGGCUGCAGUGAGCCGUGAUUGUGCCACUAUACCCCAGCCUGGGUGACAGUGAGACCCUGUCUCAAAAAAAAAAGUAAGGUCCUGUUAAAAAGUGAGACAUAAAGAAGGAAGAUGUAUGUCUUAGUCCAUUUUGUUGCUUAUAACAGAGUACCUGAAACUGGAUAAUUUAUAAAGAAAAGGAAUUUAUGUCUUACCUAUAUGGAGGCUGAGAAGUCCAGGUUGUCAAGGGCCUGCAUCUGAUGAGGGCCUUCUUGCUGGUGGGGACUGCAGAGUCCUGAGGUGCUGCAGGGCAUCACAUGGCAAGGGGGCUGACCAUGCUAGCUCAGGUCUCGCUUCCUCUUAUAAAGCCACCAGUUCCACUCUCAUGAUAACCCAUACACCCAUUAAUCCAUUUAUCUAUGACCCAGUCACCUCUUAAAGGCCUUACCGCUCAAUACUAUCACAUUGGCGAUUAAGUUGUAACAAGAGUUUUAGAAGGGACAGACAUUUAAAUCAUAGCAAUGUAUAUAAUAAAAUGCAAAAAGUGUUUCUGUAUCUAAAUGCUCAGGCAUGCCGGCACUGAAAAAACAGACUCCACCACACAUUUCAGAAUGUUCCCAGGUCAGUGGGCAGCACCACACCUGUUGACAACCACAAGGCUAGGGCAUGCUGUGUAUUGCCCAGCUAUCUUACUCCUUUAUGUUUUUAUUUCAGAUAAGUGCCAUAGAGUUCAUUUCCAUUUGCCGUAUCGAUGGCAAUUCUUGGAUAGAGGCAAAUGGGAGGAUUUGGACAACAUGGAACUUAUUGAAGAGGCAUAUUGCAAUCCCAAAAUAGAAAGGUAGGAAAUAUGUCCCUUGUCUCUGCUUUGUGCCUGGGCUUCUGUGUGUGACACACACACACACACACACACACACACA